rnacentral:tRNA from 1 species
GGCCUUGAUGCAUCAAUGGAUAUUUUUGCAUUCGCAAUGCAGAGGUCGGGAGUUCGAUCCUCCUUCGGUCCACCA